GCUGAGCUUUGUAGUGUGAGCCUGUAACCCAAGUGGGAGCAUUAAGAUGGUGGAACAGUGGGCCUUUCCUUGAAGGCUGGGCCUUCGCUGCUAUCUACUGGUUUGCCCGUUCCAAGUGGAUUAUUAUUAUUUCCUGUAUAUAUUUUAUAUUAUGUGGCUUAGAUAGCUUGACUUAGUUUAGCUAUUGAAUAGGAUCAGUUAGAGUUUGCCCGUUCCAAGUGGAUUAUUAUUAUUUCCUGUAUAUAUUUUAUAUUAUGUGGCUUAGAUAGCUUGACUUAGUUUAGCUAUUGAAUAGGAUCAGUUAGAGUUAGAUAUACUCUAUAAUCCUGUUUGUUACGAUCAUUAACGAAAUUCCUUUUCCUUAGAUUGGAGGGCACCGCGUGAGGCUCUCUUCACAGAGCAGCGAAAACCUCCUCCUCUCUGCAGUGGAAGGAUAAUGGGCCGGUGCAUCCUCUACCCAAUAACGCCUGACGGGCUGUCGAAAUUGAACCACCAACUUU
rnacentral:SRP_RNA from 1 species